GCAGGUUAGAGAAGGAGAGUGCUCUGUCCCGCGCGUCUGACGAAAGCCUCAGGAAGGUACAGGAAGCUGAGUCCCCUGUCUUUAAGGAGCUUCCUGGUGCCAAAGCCAGUGAUGACAGCGCUGUCCCCCUCACCAGUCUGGCUGGGGAGGCUGCGGGGGCCUCAGAAGGCACGUCAGCAGGGAACCACCCCCGGGCUUCCUACGGUAAGGCUGACCCAGAGAGCUGGGAUACAACCCAGAGCCUUGUGCAUGCUUAGCAUGUGAUCUGCCACCAAGGGUGUCCCCCCACCCCACACGAGCAUCUUCUACAUCCUUUUCAGGCCGAGCACUUUCCAUGACUCACGGCUCUGCAAAGUCACCCAUCUCCAAUGGAACCUUUGGCUUCGAAGGCCACAUGAGGAAUGACGGUCACUAGCGAGAAGCUGGUGGGUGACACCGUGUCCUAUUCCAAGAAGAGGCUCCGCUACGACAGCUACUCCAGCUACUGCAACGCGGUGGCCGAGGCGGAGAUCGAGGCCGAAGAGGGCGGCGUGGAAAUGAGGCUGGCCUCUGAGCUGACCGAUCCUGACCAGCCUCACGAGGAUCCUGCGGAAGACGAGAAGGAGGAGAAGGACUCCGCAGAGGUCCACCUGCUCUUCCACUUCCUGCAAGUCCUCAC
rnacentral:lncRNA from 1 species